rnacentral:tRNA from 1 species
GCCACCUUAGCUCAGUUGGUAGAGCACAGCUUUCGUAAAGCUGGGGUCCGGAGUUCGAUCCUCCGAGGUGGCUCCA